AUUGAACGCUAGCGGGAUGCUUUACACAUGCAAGUCGAACGAGAGGCGGACGGGUGAGUAAUAUAUCGGCACGUGCCCAGUAGCGGGGGCUAAGUACUCGAAAGAGUGGCUACUAGCGCAUACUAUUGGAGCGGCCGAUAUCGGAUUAGCUAGUUGGUGGGGUAAAGGCUCACAAAGGCAAAGAUCCUUAGCUGGUUUGAGAGGGCGACCGGCCACACUGGGACUGAGACACGGCCCAGACUCCUACGGGAGGCAGCAGUGGGGAAUUUUGGACAAUGGGGGAAACCCUGAUCAAGCAAUCCCGCGUGUAUGAGAAGGCCUUCGGGUUGUAAAGUACUUUUGGCAGAGAAGCGGUAUCUGCAGAAUAAGCACCGGCUAACUACGUGCCAGCAGCCGCGGUAAUUC
rnacentral:rRNA from 1 species